rnacentral:lncRNA from 1 species
UCUCUUUUACAACAAUCUCAGCUGAGUGCUUCGUUCCCCUCUUUUUAGGCGAGGUACUUCGUUCCAGCCUUUCUCUUUCUAUUUUGAAACACUUUCGGCUUGAACUCUAUUCGUUUGAGCUUGCAACCCUUCUCGACCUGUCUUUUCAGUCUCAUUCCCUUUCUCUUUUGAAACAAUCUUAGUUCAAGCACUGGUCGACAUACUCAUCUCCAACUAUAUUUCCGGAAUGCACUCCUAGAUAGGGAAGCGCAGGUUCGAGCCUAGCUCGUGAAAAGGCCUUUGCUAUUAAAGGAGAAUGAGCCUUCUCUAUCUCCACAA